GGGACGUAGCUCAGUUGGGAGAGCACCUGCCUUGCAAGCAGGGGGUCGAGAGUUCGAAUCUCUUCGUCUCC
rnacentral:tRNA from 1 species